AAGACGGGGGGCUGGUUUGCCCGAAGUGAAGCCCCUAACCUCACUGGAGGAGAAGAUCCUGGUCGUCAUGGGUCAAGUUUACACCGAAGGCAUUGCAACUGACACGUAGGUGGGACUGGAUGAGCUGUGUGAGCAGAGAAGUGGCGAGGUGUGUCAGUCGACAUCGUCUGACCCUGAAUCGAGAAGGGUCAUAUUAACGCUGAUGGAUUCAGAGUGUGACACUAUGAAUCUGCCACCAGCAAUUGUCAUCCCAUCACCUGCUAAGAAGAAGAAGCACAUAGGCCUUACAAGAGGAGCUUCUGGAGUUGGAGAAGGAGAAGCUGCUGGUAAUGAGAGAAAAAGUAAAUAUUGAUAAGGAGAGACUGCAAUUGGAAAAAGAA